GACAGAGGGUGCAAACGUUGUUCGGAAUUACUGGGCGUAAAGCGUGUGUAGGCGGUCCGAUAAGUCGGGUGUGAAAGCCCUGGGCUCAACCCAGGAAGUGCACUCGAAACUGCCGGGCUAGAGUAUCGGAGAGGUUGGUGGAAUUCUCGGUGUAGAGGUGAAAUUCGUAGAUAUCGAGAGGAACACCGGUGGCGAAGGCGGCCAACUGGACGAAUACUGACGCUGAGACUCGAAAGCGUGGGGAGCAAACAGG
rnacentral:rRNA from 1 species